GAUGAACGCUGGCGGCGUGCCUAAUACAUGCAAGUCGAGCGAACGGACGAGAAGCUUGCUUCUCUGAUGUUAGCGGCGGACGGGUGAGUAACACGUGUAUAACCUACUUAUAAGACUGGGAUAACUUCGGGAAACCGGAGCUAAUACCGGAUAAUAUCUUGAACCGCAUGGUUCAAUAGUGAAAGACGGUCUUGCUGUCACUUAUAGAUGGAUCCGCGCUGCAUGAGCUAGUUGGUAAGGUAACGGCUUACCAAGGCAACGAUGCAUAGCCGACCUGAGAGGGUGAUCGGCCACACUGGAACUGAGACACGGACCAGACUCCUACGGGAGGCAGCAGUAGGGAAUCUUACGCAAAGGGCGAAAGCCUGACGGAGCAACGCCGAGUGAGUGAUGAAGGUCUUCGGAUCGUAAAACUCUGUUAUUAGGGAAGAACAGAUGUGUAAGUAACUGUACACAUCUUGACGGUACCUAAUCAGAAAGCCACGGCUAACUACGUG
rnacentral:rRNA from 1 species